AGGUCAUCCAACCAUUCCAUGGCUAAGGCAGCACUGGAACCCGGGUCUCCUGGUUUCUAGCCUGGGCUUUAAGCACUAGAAAAACAGAACCAAAAGGAACAGAGGAAUCUAUGCCAAACGUUCUAUCCAGGCAGAGGUGUUGGGUAAGAGGGAGCAAAUGAUGAAAACAGACUUGUGCCAUUGUGACACAAACUCUAUCCUUUCUUUACAUGUAUCAACAUCACGUAAACAUAUGAUAGGACAGAGCUGCAUGGGACACCAUGAAGGCAUUAUGCCGCUUCCAUCUUUUUGAAGAAACUAUUGAAUCCUAUGGAUGCUUCUGCACUGAACUCUUUGAACGUUCAUUUACUUCACUAUGCAACUGUCUAAGGGACAAGAUUAAGGGGAAGUAGAAAGAUUCCAUGCAGAAUAGGUUGAUCGGAAAGGAGUCUCCUCUGAUAGAUAUUUUUCUCCUUUCAGAAAACAGUUGCUUAAAGUAUGCUUCUCCCAUCCAAUUGAGUUUGGUGGAGAAACUGGUAUUAAAUAUAAACAAAUCUAGCAUUAUCAUUGAGUCCUUAAGAUAAUAAUUAUGACAAUGUGUGCUGUACUAAACUAUGAAUUUGGCCUAUUUCACAAUAUCUGUAAAGCCAAAAUAUUACUUAUUGUCUUGUUCACAUUCUAUGUGUAUGAUGUAUAAUGUAUGAUAAUGAAUUUCUUUGUAUAGUA